CAGUCGCCGCGGUAAUACGUAGGGUGCGAGCGUUAAUCGGAAUUACUGGGCGUAAAGCGUGCGCAGGCGGUUCGUUAAGACAGAUGUGAAAUCCCCGGGCUUAACCUGGGAACUGCAUUUGUGACUGGCGAGCUAGAGUAUGGCAGAGGGGGGUAGAAUUCCACGUAUAGCAGUGAAAUGCGUAGAGAUGUGGAGGAACACCGAUGGCGAAGGCAGCCCCCUGGGCCAAUACUGACGCUCAUGCACGAAAGCGUGGGGAGCAAACAGGAUUAGAUACCCGGGUAGUCCCUGUCUCUUAUAC
rnacentral:rRNA from 1 species